AAAUAUUUUGUUUCCUCUAGGGUAACACCAUCUAUGUAAAAGGUUUUGGACUAACAGAAAAAAUCCUUCAGGAAUCAUUUACUAAAUAUGGUAAAGUGCAAAAAGUCAACUUUGAAAAGGACAAGAGCCAAGGCUUUGUAACGUUUGAUUCCUGUGAAGCAGCGGAAAAAGCAAUUGAUGAGAUGAACGGCAUGCUGGUUCUUGGUGUGCAUAUCAAAGUGGCUCUUUCAAGAAGACAACCAAACAUGGGAGAUACACAAGGGCAUCAUCGAAGACCCGGAUUAGGAAGUAGAGAUUCUAGAGGGCACAGUGCAGGCCUUCAGUCACAGGAGGCAAGGGAAAUUGUUUCGUAUGAUGACCUGUAGAUUACGACACGCCGUGAAGAAAAUUCAUCGGACAAAGACGAGAUUUGUUACAGAGCUAACACAAUUUGCCGAAGAGGUUCCUUCAAUGUAUACAGAUUAAUGUUUUUUUGUCAAUUAUUAUUUGUUUGGUAGAUUGUAUAAGAAACAUAAUGUAUCAAGUGCAAAGAGCUGGCUAUAAGGCUACCACUCUUCCUGAAAUGUAAACUACAGUUAGACAUGUGUAUAAAGUCAGCAGAAGUUAAUUUGGAAUUGGAAAUUAUAUAAAGAGUUUAUCAGAGUAGAAACCGUAUGUGGCUGCUUCAAGAGACCCGUUCAAACUUAGUGCCGAGUACGUGUAUGUAUAAGACUAAUAAAUAUUCCAGUCUGAAA